rnacentral:rRNA from 1 species
UAGGGAAUCUUCCACAAUGGGCGAAAGCCUGAUGGAGCAACGCCGCGUGUGUGAUGAAGGCUUUAGGGUCGUAAAGCACUGUUGUAUGGGAAGAAAUGCUAGAAUAGGGAAUGAUUCUAGUUCGACGGUACCAUACCAGAAAGGGACGGCUAAAUACGUGCCAGCAGCCGCGGUAAUACGUAUGUCCCGAGCGUUAUCCGGAUUUAUUGGGCGUAAAGCGAGCGCAGACGGUUGAUUAAGUCUGAUGUGAAAGCCCGGAGCUCAACUCCGGAAUGGCAUUGGAAACUGGUUAACUUGAGUGUUGUAGAGGUAAGUGGAACUCCAUGUGUAGCGGUGGAAUGCGUAGAUAUAUGGAAGAACACCAGUGGCGAAGGCGGCUUACUGGACAACAACUGACGUUGAGGCUCGAAAGUGUGGGUAGCAAACAGGAUUAGAUACCCUGGUAGUCCACACCGUAAACGAUGAAUACUGGGUGUUAGGAGGUUUCCGCCUCUUAGUGCCGAAGCUAACGCAUUAAGUAUUCCGCCUGGGGAGUACGACCGCAAGGUUG